AUCUAGCUUAGUUAGGAGGCCAACACUAUAAUCAGAUUUUUGGAUCUGAUUGCCAAGGCAAUUUGAGUGGACUGUUUGUUCUCCAUCAAUUGUCUUCCAAGCAGCCUUGGACAAUC
rnacentral:snoRNA from 1 species